rnacentral:rRNA from 1 species
ACGGGUGAGUAACGCGUAGGUAACCUGCCUGGUAGCGGGGGAUAACUAUUGGAAACGAUAGCUAAUACCGCAUAAGAGUAGAUAUCGCAUGAUAACUGCUUAAAAGGUGCAAUUGCAUCACUACCAGAUGGACCUGCGUUGUAUUAGCUAGUUGGUGAGGUAACGGCUCACCAAGGCAACGAUACAUAGCCGACCUGAGAGGGUGAUCGGCCACACUGGGACUGAGACACGGCCCAGACUCCUACGGGAGGCAGCAGUGGGGAAUAUUGCACAAUGGGCGAAAGCCUGAUGCAGCAACGCCGCGUGAACGAUGAAGGUCUUCGGAUCGUAAAGUUCUGUUGCAGGGGAAGAUAAUGACGGUACCCUGUGAGGAAGCCCCGGCUAACUACGUGCCAGCAGCCGCGGUAAUACGUAGGGGGCUAGCGUUAUCCGGAUUUACUGGGCGUAAAGGGUGCGUAGGUGGUCCUUCAAGUCGGUGGUUAAAGGCUACGGCUCAACCGUAGUAAGCCGCCGAAACUGGAGGACUUGAGUGCAGGAGAGGAAAGUGGAAUUCCCAGUGUAGCGGUGAAAUGCGUAGAUAUAUGGAGGAACACCGGUGGCGAAAGCGGCUCUCUGGUCUGUAACUGACGCUGAGGCUCGAAAGCGUGGGGAGCAAACAGGAUUAGAU